rnacentral:rRNA from 1 species
UGGGGAAUAUUGGACAAUGGGGGGAACCCUGAUCCAGCCAUGCCGCGUGUGUGAAGAAGGCCUUAUGGUUGUAAAGCACUUUAAGCGAGGAGGAGGGUACUGGUAUUAAUACUACCAGGUACUGGACGUUACUCGCAGAAUAAGCACCGGCUAACUCUGUGCCAGCAGCCGCGGUAAUACAGAGGGUGCGAGCGUUAAUCGGAUUUACUGGGCGUAAAGCGUGCGUAGGCGGCUAAUUGAGUCGGAUGUGAAAUCCCCGAGCUUAACUUGGGAAUUGCAUUCGAUACUGGUUAGCUAGCGUGUGGGAGAGGAUGGUAGAAUUCCAGGUGUAGCGGUGAAAUGCGUAGAGAUCUGGAGGAAUACCGAUAGCGAAGGCAGCCAUCUGGCCUAACACUGACGCUGAGGUACGAAAGCAUGGGGAGCAAACAGG